ensembl:rRNA 5S_rRNA 5S ribosomal RNA
GCCAGCAGCUAUCACUCUUCAGCUCUUGCCUGGUCACCAACUGAAGUUAAGCAGGGUUGAGCCUGGUCAGUACCUGGAUGGGAGACCUUCUGGGAAAACCAAGUUGCUGCUGGAA